GUCAGUAUCCUUAGAUUGAGAGCAAUAAGUGCUCAGAAGCAGAAGAGGUAGUUCCACUUUUUACCCUAAACAUAUUUCUUUGUAUCACAGCCUACAACUGCCCCGACUUAGUGCAGUGAAAAAUGCACUCAAAAAGCUCUACUCUAUGCACAGAGCUACCCAGAAGAGUUCUCUGAAUGGAGAUUUUGAUUGUUAGAUUUAUUAAUAACCAUAUUUCCUUUUUAGGUCUUCAGAUCAAUUCAGAUCCCUUGUGUUCCCAAGUGAUUUUCCCAGCCAUUUACUGGCCGAACUUUAGCCUCACAAAGUUGAGGACAUCAGGUUGUUCCCUUGAGUACUAGAAUCUGUUUGGUGCUAAAAGAAGCUGUUGUUGAUAACAAAGAUGGGAAAGUUUCCUUUAUUUUGACCGCAGCUCCCAGAAUCUCUCAACCUUUGCUUCAUUCAUGAGGCCAAGAGACAGCUUAAGCCUAUUGAGUGAACUCAUGCUUGAAAAGAGAAGAAGGGCAUUAAGUCAUUGACAUCUCAGUACAAUUUCUGUAUAUGGAUUAUGUCUUCAUAAAUUGCCAGUUAUUUUGACACCACGGCUUCCACAUAACAUGUUUAGGAAAUGGUAACCUGUAAUACUCUUUACUCUCCAGCUGAGGGCAUGAUAGGUUUGUAUUCAGAAAUGGCAUACUGGAUAUUAAGGUCCUUGGUCAAGGUGAGGUUAACAAAAAAACAAAACACCAACUUUGUAAAUGAUGCUUUGAAAUUCUUUUGCUUAUCAGUACCUUGGAAUUUGGUUCAAUGAACAGUAAUAUACCUAUGCAAAAAAAUAAGUAAAUCAGAAAAUGAAUGGCCUGGAACAGAUUCUUUAAUAUGAAGAAUGCAACAUACAAUGGACAGCUGUGGGAGUGCUCACUGUAUUCUUCAUUCUGUUUUUUGGCAUGGCCUUAUAGACUUAAGCUAUUAUAAAGAGGAUAAGGGAUUUGAAAAUGUCAAUUUAAUUGCAUAAUGCUAAACAUUUCUUAGAUCUAAAUGGUUACCAAUGAUAAGGUACUAAGGCCAAUAAAUAAAUAUAAAUCAUUUGACUGGCACCUUGAAAAUUAGCUGCAAUUAGUGAUCUGCCAGUAGGAUUUCGACCAGAGAACAAAGACAGGUAGAUGAUUUCAGCCAUGUAACAAGAAAAAAAAUACAGAUUGUCAAAGCUGAUCAUUCAAGGUAAAAA